UCGUAACAAGGUUUCCGUAGGUGAACCUGCGGAAGGAUCAUUACCGAGUGCGGGCUGCCUCCGGGCGCCCAACCUCCCACCCGUGACUACCUAACACUGUUGCUUCGGCGGGGAGCCCUCUCGGGGGCGAGCCGCCGGGGACUACUGAACUUCAUGCCUGAGAGUGAUGCAGUCUGAGUCUGAAUAUAAAAUCAGUCAAAACUUUCAACAAUGGAUCUCUUGGUUCCGGCAUCGAUGAAGAACGCAGCGAACUGCGAUAAGUAAUGUGAAUUGCAGAAUUCAGUGAAUCAUCGAGUCUUUGAACGCACAUUGCGCCCCCUGGCAUUCCGGGGGGCAUGCCUGUCCGAGCGUCAUUGCUGCCCAUCAAGCCCGGCUUGUGUGUUGGGUCGUCGUCCCCCCCGGGGGACGGGCCCGAAAGGCAGCGGCGGCACCGUGUCCGGUCCUCGAGCGUAUGGGGCUUUGUCACCCGCUCGAUUAGGGCCGGCCGGGCGCCAGCCGACGUCUCCAACCAUUUUCUUCAGGUUGACCUCGGAUCAGGUAGGGAUACCCGCUGAACUUAAGCAUAUCAAUAAGCGGAGGAAAAGAAACCAACCGGGAUUGCCCCAGUAACGGCGAGUGAAGCGGCAAGAGCUCAAAUUUGAAAUCUGGCCCCUCCGGGGUCCGAGUUGUAAUUUGCAGAGGAUGCUUCGGGUGCGGCCCCUGUCUAAGUGCCCUGGAACGGGCCGUCAGAGAGGGUGAGAAUCCCGUCUUGGGCAGGGUGCCCGUGCCCGUGUGAAGCUCCUUCGACGAGUCGAGUUGUUUGGGAAUGCAGCUCUAAAUGGGUGGUAAAUUUCAUCUA
rnacentral:misc_RNA from 1 species